CACAACACCGGGGGCAGAACAGAGGGAGGCUAGGACAAUAGAUCAGCAGACUAGACUUCCUGCAGGGAAACUGUGGUGUAGUGACAGAUCAUCACCAUGGCCAAUCCCAAAGGGACACCUGGCCUCCUUGCAGAUCAAGCCCCACCCAGACUGAUCUCGAGAUGGAUGCAUCCAAGGGUUUCACAUGGAGAGAAUCCUGUCUACAUUAACAAAGAAACGUCAGCAGCUAAAUGAAAGGUUUACAGAUGGGGACAUGGAGGCAGAGAGCGGUUAACGGCGACAUAUGCAAACUGGGAUGCUAAAGAAGGAUCAGCAAGUUGGGAAAAGGUGGUAAAAGAACCAGUUUUACACUCUCAUUACACAUGUAAUACCAGCUCA